rnacentral:rRNA from 1 species
UGCAAGUCGAGCGGUAGCACAGAGAGCUUGCUCUCGGGUGACGAGCGGCGGACGGGUGAGUAAUGUCUGGGAAACUGCCUGAUGGAGGGGGAUAACUACUGGAAACGGUAGCUAAUACCGCAUAACGUCGCAAGACCAAAGUGGGGGACCUUCGGGCCUCAUGCCAUCAGAUGUGCCCAGAUGGGAUUAGCUGGUAGGUGGGGUAACGGCUCACCUAGGCGACGAUCCCUAGCUGGUCUGAGAGGAUGACCAGCCACACUGGAACUGAGACACGGUCCAGACUCCUACGGGAGGCAGCAGUGGGGAAUAUUGCACAAUGGGCGCAAGCCUGAUGCAGCCAUGCCGCGUGUGUGAAGAAGGCCUUCGGGUUGUAAAGCACUUUCAGCGGGGAGGAAGGCGAUAAGGUUAAUAACCUUGUCGAUUGACGUUACCCGCAGAAGAAGCACCGGCUAACUCCGUGCCAGCAGCCGCGGUAAUACGGAGGGUGCAAGCGUUAAUCGGAAUUACUGGGCGUAAAGCGCACGCAGGCGGUCUGUCAAGUCGGAUGUGAAAUCCCCGGGCUCAACCUGGGAACUGCAUUCGAAACUGGCAGGCUAGAGUCUUGUAGAGGGGGGGUAGAAUUCCAGGUGUAGCGGUGAAAUGCGUAGAGAUCUGGAGGAAUACCGGUGGCGAAGGCGGCCCCCUGGACAAAGACUGACGCUCAGGUGCGAAAGCGUGGGGAGCAAACAGGAUUAGAUACCCUGGUAGUCCACGCUGUAAACGAUGUCGAUUUGGAGGUUGUGCCCUUGAGGCGUGGCUUCCGGAGCUAACGCGUUAAAUCGACCGCCUGGGGAGUACGGCCGCAAGGUUAAAACUCAAAUGAAUUGACGGGGGCCCGCACAAGCGGUGGAGCAUGUGGUUUAAUUCGAUGCAACGCGAAGAACCUUACCUGGUCUUGACAUCCACAGAACUUUCCAGAGAUGGAUUGGUGCCUUCGGGAACUGUGAGACAGGUGCUGCAUGGCUGUCGUCAGCUCGUGUUGUGAAAUGUUGGGUUAAGUCCCGCAACGAGCGCAACCCUUAUCCUUUGUUGCCAGCGGUUAGGCCGGGAACUCAAAGGAGACUGCCAGUGAUAAACUGGAGGAAGGUGGGGAUGACGUCAAGUCAUCAUGGCCCUUACGACCAGGGCUACACACGUGCUACAAUGGCAUAUACAAAGAGAAGCGACCUCGCGAGAGCAAGCGGACCUCAUAAAGUAUGUCGUAGUCCGGAUUGGAGUCUGCAACUCGACUCCAUGAAGUCGGAAUCGCUAGUAAUCGUAGAUCAGAAUGCUACGGUGAAUACGUUCCCGGGCCUUGUACACACCGCCCGUCACACCAUGGGAGUGGGUUGCAAAAGAAGUAGGUAGCUUAACCUUCGGGAGGGCGC